UGUCUUACGGGGGGCUGCAGUGGGGAAUCUUGGGCAAUGGGCCAAAGCCUGAUCCAGCACUGCCGCGUGUGUGAAGAAGCCCUUCGGGUUGUAAAGCACUUUUGUCCGGAAAGAAAUCCUUGGCUUUAAUACAGUCGGGGGAUGACGGUACCGGAAGAAUAAGCACCGGCUAACUUCGUGCCAGCAGCCGCGGUAAUACGUAGGGUGCGAGCGUUAUUCGGAAUUACUGGGCGUAAAGCGUGCGCAGGCGGUUUGCUAAGUCCGAUGUGAAAUCCCCGGGCUCAACCUGGGAACUGCAUUGGAUACUGGCAGAUCUAGAGUACGGCAGAGGGGAGUGGAAUUCCCUAGUGUAGCGGUGAAAUGCGUAGAUAUGUGGAGAACACCAGUGGCGAAGGCAGCCUCUCUGGUCCUGUACUGACGCUGAGC
rnacentral:rRNA from 1 species